UCAUUCCUGAGCCGCCGGGCGAAGCGACGGAGCGAGAGGCGGUCGGUCGCCCCUGCCGCUGCCGCUCGGUCGGGGCCUCGAGCGCAGCCGGCGAUGGCAGCGCGCCUGCACGGAGGCUAGCCGUGCGUCCGCCUAGGGCUGGGCUGUGGGAUCGCCUGGCGCCUGGAGGCGAGGAGGGAGGCCGAUGGGAUUGAUGAGGUCUUGGCUGUCCCGGGUUCAUCGAAUGGGCUGCGUGGCCGUUGUUAAUCUUGGACAUCCGGUAUAUAGAUGCUGGAAAUAUGAAGUCAACGUGUCAGUACAAAGAGGUGCUUUUUUCUAUUUGAGUGCUUGAUGCUGUGGCUCUUUUCAAACAAUCAUUUAUGGACAUCAGAGAUACAACAACGGGUUUUUCAUUUUUUUUUUGCGCACACAGUAUGGGAAGAUAUAGCUACAGAAUUUGUACCUGGCUUUUUUUUUAUCGUUUUAAAGUGUUGGAAUCUUGCUUUGUUAAGGUGCUUUGUAGCAUUGGCUCUGCUCUGAUGUAAUGGUGAACUGCUAGUAUGUAUACCUAGAAUGUAGACGCUGGGGUAAUUUUUUA